CACGUAGGGACCAAGCGUUGUCCGGAUUCAUUGGGCGUAAAGAGCUCGUAGGCGGUUCAGUAAGUCGGGUGUGAAACCUCCAGGCUCAACCUGGAGACGCCACCCGAUACUGCUGUGACUAGAGUCCAGUAGGGGAGCGUGGAAUUCCUGGUGUAGCGGUGAAAUGCGCAGAUAUCAGGAGGAACACCAGCGGCGAAGGCGGCGCUCUGGGCUGGAACUGACGCUGAGGAGCGAAAGCGUGGGUAGCAAACAGG
rnacentral:rRNA from 1 species